rnacentral:misc_RNA from 1 species
GAUGAAGAACGCAGUGAAAUGCGAUACGUAAUGUGAAUUGCAGAAUUCAGUGAAUCAUCGAGUCUUUGAACGCACAUUGCGCCCCCUGGUAUUCCGGGGGGCAUGCCUGUCCGAGCGUCAUUGCUGCCCUCAAGCACGGCUUGUGUGUUGGGCCUCCGUCCUCCUCCCGGGGGACGGGGCCGAAAGGCAGCGGCGGCACCGCGUCCGGUCCUCGAGCGUAUGGGGCUUCGUCACCCGCUCUUGUAGGCCCGGCCGGCGCUUGCCGACACAUCAAUCUUUUUUCCAGGUUGACCUCGGAUCAGGUAGGGAUACCCGCUGACCUUAAGCAUAUCAAUAAGCGGAGGA